AGGACUGUAGUUUAAUGGUAGAACGACACCCGUCUCUGAAUGUUUGCCCGAGCCGGGCCGGAUGGAGAUGGUUACCGGCCUCGAAACCUGGAAGGUGCGGGUUCGACCCCCGCCGGUCCUG
rnacentral:tRNA from 1 species